GUUAAUAAUUAUUAUUAGAACUGGAAAUUUGGCAAAAUUCGGCUGCGGAAACAGUUCACACACGACUCUUGGGUCUUGCCACCUGCCAACAAAUUCUCUAUCCAACUAUCUUUUCUCAGGGCAUUUAAUUUUUCCUUCAAAUAAUUUAUUUUUUACCUUUCAGGUGGUACCCUGAGGACCGCGAGCAAUUCCUGCCGGUUCUCCCUGCUGAUCUUUUAAGAAUCUAAAAGGUUCGUCUGGAGGAUCGCGGAAAAUAUUUGUGCUGGGUGAAAAAUUCGGCUGGCGAGGAGACGCGUUGCAGGUGGCGCUGACAGGGUCGACCCACGUCCAGCCUCAGCGCCAGGUCGUCGACGUCGGAAAGGCGGCCGCGUUCAGACACGUGACUAGCUGUUGCGUGAGGAGCUCGCUGACCUGUCGAGGGUUGACCCUGAUCGGCAGAAGCAGGAAGCAGCCUUUGGGCCCUCCGAUCCGGCUCGACAGACGGCUCCUCAGACAGACCUCCGGUCCGGCGGCCGCCUCGGCGAGACAUUCGCGCAGCACGCGUUUUUUGCUUCGCUUCUUUUGAAUUAUGUUGAAAAAACCCUGAGCGGAUGUUGAACAAAUUGCGAAAAGUUUCACUGGAAUCGAUCUCAGGGUGCGGUAACCUGUCAAAAGUCCUGUGUUUAAAACAUUUUUGGCUAUUUCUUAAAAUUAUUUUUAAAAUCUGUGUUUAAUAUUUUAAUCGCACGCGUAAUUAAAUUUUAGAUAAUUUUCUAGUUAAUAAUGCAAGUUUGUCAUGUUUCAAGGAAGGAAAUCACAAAUUACAGCUAAAAAUCCGGUUGUUAAAUUGAUCAAUACAAAUAAAUACACGUGUAUUAAAGAAUUUA